rnacentral:rRNA from 1 species
UACAGAGGUCUCAAGCGUUGUUCGGAUUCAUUGGGCGUAAAGGGUGCGUAGGCGGCGCGGUAAGUCGGGUGUGAAAUCUCGGGGCUUAACUCCGAAACUGCAUUCGAUACUGCCGUGCUUGAGGACUGGAGGGGGGACUGGAAUUCUCGGUGUAGCAGUGAAAUGCGUAGAUAUCGAGAGGAACACCAGUGGCGAAGGCGAGUCCCUGGACAGGUCCUGACGCUGAGGCACGAAAGCUAGGGGAGCAAACAGG